GAAUUCAGAAUGUGGGAGUUGAGACAUUGGAGAAGUGGAAAUACAGGAAACAGUUACUAUUCUCUUGUAACUAGUGAAAAUACAGUUGAUGACAUAGAAGACUUAAUUUCCUCCUCAUGAUUAAUCUCACAGUUGGAGAGUAUACCCACUCUUACAAAGAAUCCAGGGGAUGAUGCAGGAAGAAAGCCCUCAUCAGAUGCUGACAUCAUGAUCUUGGACUUCCCAGCCUCCAGACUGAUAAGAAAUAAAUUUCUGUUCGUUAUAAAUUA